rnacentral:rRNA from 1 species
GGUUGCGAUCAUACCAGCACUAAUGCAUCGGAUCCCAUUAGAACUGCGCAGUUAAGCGUGCUUGGGCGAGAGUAGUACUAGGAUGGGUUACCACCUGGGAAGUCCUUGUGUUGCAACCCC